UUGUUUUCUAAUUCUCAUUAACUUUAUGUACCUUUGUGGACAAUUUUGUUUAAAUGUUGCAGGGUAUAGUUCUAUUGAUGCAAUUAUUCAGUUUUAGCAGUGAUAUUGUUGUUGUAUACUUGUUAUAAAGUGCUUUUCGUGUUGGUAUUAUUGCUAUUGCCGUUGGAGAAGUGGUUUCAUAUGCGAUCUUAUCGUUCGUUGUGAUUAGGUCUGGACGGGAAUACAAACAAACAAAAAAACAUAUUUGUGUCUUCCAGAUUGAUACACUAGACAUGUGUAUCCAGUGCGAUAUGAUUCAACAUAAGCCCGGACAUCGCCCAAUAGGAAAUAAAAUGGACGGAUAGCUAAAAAGAGGCGAAGGCACUUCCGCAAAGCCACAACUAGAAGGGGGUUAUCUGUAACGAAUGGUUCUGUAGGCAGUUGCUGGCCGAUCUGAGGUUUAUGCCCCACAACUUUCGGAUCUUCCGAAAGCGCAUCAUUUACCUUGUCAGGUGUCUUACGUUAUUUUAUCUGAAGCGUUAUGCCCUUAAAUAACCAUAGAAGAGUUAGGUUUGUGGAUGGUUAAUUUGUGGAAUUUCUCGAACCACCUCGAACCAAAUUGUAUUGCUGUGCGGGUUACUAAAGGAAGCGAUCGAAUGUCAUACAAAAAUGACCAUGGGAUGUUGCAUAGCAAUACACAUGAGCCAUUAGUUACACAUUGUUGCAUACAAUAAAAGUCUUGCCGGAUGUGUAACUGCGGAUUGGGGUUGUGCACUAUAGUCGCACGAUUAUAAGAUCGCUAUGCUAAUGGAAGUUGCUUGCCACUUUUUUCAAUGUAUGUAAUUGACAGCGAAUG